GGAUGCGAUCAUACCAGCACUGAAGCACCGGAUCCCAUCAGAACUCCGAAGUUAAGCGUGCUUGGGCGAGAGUAGUACUAGGAUGGGUGACCUCCUGGGAAGUCCUCGUGUUGCAUUCC
rnacentral:rRNA from 1 species